AUUCCUUUUUGGUUCAUGAUUCACACCAUUCUAUGACAUGUGUCUCCCACAAUCCUUGUAAUAGUAUCAGCAUAUUACCCACCUGAUA
rnacentral:snoRNA from 1 species